rnacentral:rRNA from 1 species
CCUACGGGAGGCAGCAGUGGGGAAUAUUGGACAAUGGGCGAAAGCCUGAUCCAGCGACGCCGCGUGGGUGAAGAAGGCCUUCGGGUUGUAAAGCCCUUUAAGCCGGGACGAAAAAGCUGCACCUAACACGUGCGGCCUUGACGGUACCGGAAGAAUAAGCACCGGCUAACUCUGUGCCAGCAGCCGCGGUAAUACAGAGGGUGCAAGCGUUAAUCGGAUUUACUGGGCGUAAAGCGUGUGUAGGUGGCUAUCUAAGUCGGUUGUGAAAGCCCUGGGCUCAACCUGGGAAUUGCAGUCGAUACUGGAUAGCUCGAGUUCGGUAGAGGGUGACGGAAUUCCCGGUGUAGCGGUGAAAUGCGUAGAUAUCGGGAGGAACAUCGAUGGCGAAGGCAAUCACCUGGGCCUGAACUGACACUGUGACACGAAAGCGUGGGUAGCAA